rnacentral:tRNA from 1 species
GGAGAGUUGGGUGAGUGGCUGAAACCAACAGUUUGCUAAACUGUCGUACUCGAUUAGAGUACCGGGGGUUCGAAUCCCCCAUUCUCCGCCA